CUUCUCCUCCUCGCCUACAGCACCCAAUUAAAGCCUUCUUCUUUGGCAGUAAUCAUCGUCUCAGUCAUUGGCUUUCUGUGCAGCCAGCAGCAGGCCCUAAACCAAACCCCAGGCAUUUCAUAUUCACGUUUAGAGGAGAAGGCCUCUUUACUGCCUUCCGCUGAACCAGCCACUCAUGGUACCUGCCAAUCUCCAUGGCCUCUGCUGAGCAUUCUCUCUGACAGCCCCCAGUCAGGGACACUGGAGGACCGGAGGCUGUGCUCUGGUGCACACCCUCCCCAACUUGUGCUUUCACCUAUUGGACUGUCUUCUAACCAAAAGUCUGUUGUGUUUGUCCCCAUACCUGUUCUUGCUAUCAUAUUUGAUUUUAUAAUUGCAAAAUUUAAUUAAAUAUUACAUAAACCAUUAAAAUGUGAGUGCAAAACAAAAUUAUAAAGACUAAGUUGCAAAUUUCAAUAAAAAUGAGUCACUAAAAAUAAAGGCUACUG
rnacentral:lncRNA from 1 species